rnacentral:lncRNA from 1 species
GCUUAGGUGCUGAUGAGGUUCUGGAUUACAAAACCCCAGAAGGAGCAGCUCUGAAGAGCCCAUCUGGUAAGAAAUAUGAUGCUGUGAUCCACUGCGCUGCUGGCGUUCCUUGGAGCACUUUUGAGCCAAAUCUGAGUGCAAAUGGGAAGGUUAUAGAUAUCACUCCUGGCCCCAGUGCCUUCAUGACUUUUGCUUUUAAGAAACUUACCUUCUCCAAGAAGCAGCUGGUGCCGCUGCUUUUGAUUCCCAAUGGUGAGAACCUGAAUUAUCUUGUUAAUCUGGUAAAGGAAGGGAAGCUUAAAACAGUCAUCGACUCAAAGCAUCCAUUAAGCAGGGCUGAAGAUGCUUGGGCAAAGAGUAUCGACAGUCAUGCUACUGGGAAGAUCAUUGUGGAGCCGUGAAUGAAAAUAAUGUGCUUGAAUUGCUAAAAUUUCUGCAACUGUGAGGUCUUUCCUGUACAAUGUGGAUCCGAUGGCAUACACAGCUGAUGAGGCAUUGUAUGAUGCGUGAUCUUGCACACCAAUUUCUUUUGACUGGAUGUUUCCCUAAAUGAUAGGGUUUGGGUUGAGUUUAUUAACUAUUGAUUAUGUUUGUUCUUCAAUAUCAGAUGCUUUUUUUUUCAUUUUGGUGUUAUUUUAUUUAAUGACGUGAGACUCACCCAUAUGGGCCAAUUCUAGGUAUAUUUUGUCGUCUAGAGAAUUGAUGUCCUAUGUUGCAGGGGACAUUUCCACUAACUAUAACUAUGAAAAGCUAAAUACGACAAAAAGGUGAUCACUUAGGUUUUUUUUUUAUUUUUUAUUUGGAGACCUGAUGAUGAGAGAGAAAGCCUGAAGAGAUUUUUGAGAGAGAAUUGGGCUAACGGAGCUAUAACUCCGCCACCCACUGUUGUUAAGAGAAAUCAUUGUUGGUAUUUUACUGGAAAAACUGAUUUCGAGGCAGCCAUAUUCGUCAGGUUGGUGCUCCUCCAGUCACCGUUAGAUCUGUACCAUAUUGCUUAGAGAGGUUCACUUGGGUAUCCUUUUUGUUCUUAACGGUGGAGAUCAGAUUUGCACAACUUUGGAAUUGGAUGACCAAACCAUUGAUGCCAAACUCCAUGGCAAAGUUUAUGAUAAAUAACACUUGAGAACUAUAGUUAGAGGGUUGGUAUUGAAGUAGGUACAAACCAUUUUUAAUUGUUCUGGAUAUAAGAAUAACUUUAAAAAAUAAGAUGAAAGUGAUUAUGAAAUUUAAAGAAAACAUUAUUAUCUAAAGCAAAUUAUCUUAUAGAAAAAAUGAAUUUCAUGAUUAGAGUCAUGUGAGGUUAAAUUAUUAUUAUUAUUAUUAUUUUGUUUAAAAAAAAUGGUAUAAAUUGUGUUCACAGCAAACAAAACAGGCAUAAAUUCCUUGGGGGCAUAGUUUGAAUAUAAGCUAAGUCUAACAGAGCUAAACCAAUAUGCUUCGAUAAACCUAAAUGAGAUUGACUAGACUUGUUUAAAGGGAAAGCUAUUUAAUUAAAAUGAUAAUUACCCGAGGAAAAAUCAGAAGAGCCUUAUUAGAGAGAAUUUAAUGCAAGAUAGGAGAAUAUGGAUGACCAAACCAUUGAUGCCAAACUCCAUGACAAAGUUUAUGAUAGAUAACACUUGAGGACCAUAGUUAGAGGGUUGGUAUUGAAGUAGGUACAAACCAUUUUUAAUUGUUCUGAACAUAAGAAUAACUUUAAAAAAUAAAAUGAAAGUGAUUAUGAAAUUUAAAGAAAACAUUAUUAUCUAAAGCAAAUUACCUUAUAGAAAAAAUAAAUUUCAUGAUUAGAGUCAUGUGAGGUUAAAUUAUUAUUAUUAUUAUUUUGUUUAAAAAAAAUGGUAUAAAUUGUGUUCACAACAAACAAAACAGGCAUAAAUUCCUAGGGGGCAUAGGUUGAAUAUAAGCUAAGUCUAACAGAGCUAAACCAAUAUGCUUCGAUAAACCUAAAUGAGAUUGACUAGACUUGUUUAAAGGGAAAACUAUUUAAUUAAAAUGAUAAUUACCCGAGGAAAAAUCAGAAGAGCCUUAUUAGAGAGAAUUUAAUGCAAGAUAUGAGAAUAUGGAUGACCAAACCAUUGAUGCCAAACUUCAUGAUAAAGUUUAUGAUAGAUAACACUUGAGGACCAUAGUUAGAGGGUUGGUAUUGAAGUAGGUACAAACCAUUUUUAAUUGUUCUGAACAUAAGAAUAACUUUAAAAAAUAAAAUAAAAGUGAUUAUGAAAUUUAAAGAAAACAUUAUUAUCUGAAGCAAAUUACCUUAUAGAAAAAAUGAAUUUCAUGAUUAGAGUCAUGUGAGGUUAAAUUAUUAUUAUUAUUAUUAUUAUUUUGUUUAAAAAAAAUGGUAUAAAUUGUGUUCACAACAAACAAAACAGGCAUAAAUUUCUAGGGGGGAUAGUUUGAAUAUAAGCUAAGUCUAACAGAGCUAAACCAAUAUGCUUCGAUAAACCUAAAUGAGAUUGACUAGACUUGUUUAAAGGGAAAGCUAUUUAAUUAAAAUGAUAAUUACUCGAGAAAAAAUCAGAAUAGCCUUAUUAGAGAGAAUUUAAUGCAAUAUACGAGAAUAUGGAUGACUAAACCAUUGAUGCCAAACUCCAUGACAAAGUUUAUGAUAAAUAACACUUGAGGACUAUAGUUAGAGGGUUGGUAUUGAAGUAGGUACAAACUAUUUUUAAUUGUUCUAGAUAUAAGAAUAACUUUAAAAAAUAAGAUGAAAGUAAUUAUGAAAUUUAAAGAAAAUAUUAUUAUCUAAAGCAAAUUAUUUUAUAGAAAAAAAAAAUUUCAUGAUUAGAGUCAUGUGAGGUUAAAUUAUUAUUAUUAUUAUUAUUAUUUUGUUUAAAAAAAAUGGUAUAAAUUGUGUUCACAACAAACAAAACAGACAAAAAUUCCUAGGGGGCAUAGUUUGAAUAUAAGCUAAGUCUAACAGAGCUAAACCAAUAUGCUUCGAUAAACCUAAAUGAGAUUGACUAGACUUGUUUAAAGGGAAAACUAUUUAAUUAAAAUGAUAAUUACCCGAGGAAAAAUCAGAAGAGCCUUAUUAGAGAGAAUUUAAUGCAAGAUAUGAGAAUAUGGAUGACCAAACCAUUGAUGCCAAACUCCAUGACAAAGUUUAUGAUAGAUAACACUUGAGGACCAUAGUUAGAGGGUUGAUAUUGAAGUAGGUACAAACCAUUUUUAAUUGUUCUGGACAUAAGAAUAACUUUAAAAAAUAAAAUGAAAGUGAUUAUGAAAUUUAAAGAAAAUAUUAUUAUUUUAAAAAAUUAUCUUAUAAAAAAAAUGAAUUUCAUGAUUAGAGGCAUGUGAAGUUAAAUUAUUAUUAUUAUUAUUAUUAUUAUCUUUAAAAAAAAUGAUAUAAAUUAUGUUCACAGUAAAUAAGCAAAUAAAACAGACAUAAAUUUUUAGGGGGAUUGUUAUAACCGACUUGUAUUUUGUCCUUUCCAUUAAUACAAAAAAAAAAGAUACCAAAAGUUUGUCGUUUCCCGUUAGGCAGACAUGUGGAACACAGUACGCCUUUCUUAUAUCUCUUUUAAGUUUAACCGUUAAAGCCACCACCUCCUCUCCUGCCAGUUCCUAUUACGCUCCACCUCUUUUUUCUUCUCUUCUUUCCGUGCCCAGUUUUUUUUCCUUCUGUUUCUCUGAUAACAGCGGCGUCGCUUCUACUGGAUAUGGCGGGGAAGCUGAUGCAUGCCGUUCAGUAUAGCACCUAUGGAGGAGGCGCCGCUGGUUUAAAGGUUAAUUGUUUUUUUAACCAAAUUUUGGUAGCGUAAUUAUAUGUCCCUUUUCUUUUCUUUGAUCACCAUUUAGUUAGUUAGUAAUUGUUGAAACAUGGAGAUGAAUUAUAGAUUGUUGCCCCCAUUUCUUUUUGUUUCUAAAUUAAAUAAUAAUAAUGGUGGUGGUGGUGGUGGAGGAGGAGAAGGAUUAGAUGUAAUGUGAGUUUUGCUUUAAUUUUUGAUAAAAUAGUUAAAUAAUAAAGGUGUUUGAAAGUGUGAAAUUGUUAUUUUUAAAAUAUUUCUUUUAAAAAUAUGUUAAAAUAAUUUUUUUUAAUAUCAAAUUAUUAAAAUAAUAAAAUAUAAAACAAUAUAUAUAUAUAUAUUAAAUCAAUUUGAACCGCAAUCCGAAACACGCACGAAAAAGAGGCAUUGAUGCACCUACUGUGAGUUACUGCUAUUAUAUAAAUAGUUUUGCUUGUUGUAGCAUGUUGAGGUUCCAGUCCCUAGUGCCAAGAGAGACGAGGUUUUGCUCAAGUUAGAAGCAACUAGUCUAAACCCAGUCGAUUGGAAGAUGCAGAAUGGGUUGUUGCGCCCCCUACUCCCUUGGAGAUUCCCUUACGUCCCCGGUGAUUCACUUCUUUCUUUAUGUGGACUUUGAUUUUUAUAUGUAAUCUGACUCAGACACUAUCUUACUGCUUGUUAAGGCUUUUGAUUGCACAUAAAUUCCGCCAUAUAGCCUAAUCCACAAGGAUUCUUUGUAAUGUUAGUUGAUUGCAUGAUUUUCUUCUUUUAGGUGCUUACUCAUUAUUUUGAUUUGGGCCGUGUUUGUUUCCUGGAAUUCACUUUCCGGAAAACCACUUUCCAAACUUUCCUAUGUUUGUUUGCUAUUAGGAAAGUUGGUCAACGGAAAACACUUUUCGGUCAAAGAAAAAUUUGGUUUGGUUUUCAGGAAAGUGUUUUCCCUUUUGGCUGUGUUUGUUUUCCGGAAAGUGGUUUCCGGGAAACCACUUUUCAAACUUUCCUGUGUUUGUUUGCCAUUAGAAAAGUUGGUCAACGGAAAACACUUUCCAAUCAAAGGAAAAUUUGGCUUGGUUUUCAGGAAAGUAUUUUCCUGGAAAAUUUGGGCGGAAAACACUUUCCGGAAGUUGUGAAAAAUUUAGAAAUGUCAUUAUUUGCUGAUUAUAUCAAAUUUGAUCCUCAAACUUUUGAUUGCUAUAUAUAAUUUGUUUUGAAUAUUUAUUUUUCAAUUUCAUCUCUUAAAAUUUAAUUUUUAUAUUAAUUUUGGUCCUUAUUUUUAUAAUUGCUAUUUGCUUUUUCCUUAUCAUUUUUUUAUUGAAAUUUUUUAUCUAUCAAAUUUGAUCCUCAUUUUUUUUUAUUGUUACUUAUUUUAUUUGAAAUAAUUUAUAAAAUGUUAAUUGUUAUUAUUUUAAUUUCUUCACCUUUUUUUUUUUUUAAUUUUUUAGAUUUGAUCUCUAUUUUUUUGAUUAUUAUUUAUUUUAUUUGAGAUAAUUUAUGAAAUUAUAUUUUUUUUCAAUCUCAUUCUUAUUUAACUUUUUAAUUUGUAAGAUUUGUUCCUCAUUAUUUUAAUAAACUUGAGAAAAAUAAAACAUUAAUAAGUUAUUUUCCAGCUCAUUUUCCAUGACAUAACCAAACACUAGAAAAUAUUUUCCAACUUAUUUUUCAUUACACUACCAAACAUCGGAAAAUUCUUUCAUGAAAUUCACUUUCCCGGAAUUUACUUUUCCCGAAAUUCACUUUCCAAAAAGAAACUACUUUUCAGCAAACAAACGGGACUUAGGAUUUAAGUUUGUAACGGUGUGGUGUUGCAUCUAGGAAACUUUGGAAACGGGUUUGGUGUUACUGGGGACCAUCUCAAUAGAAUCGUUUCCAUAUAAAUAUUAAAUACUAGUUGUCAAUAUUAAAUAUUAGUUGCCAAUUCGAUACUUUUUUGUUCCUUUGUUUAGCUUUCAGAAUGCGGAACUUGGAAACUGGCAUACCUUUGUCAUUUUUUUAUGGUAUAUGACAAUGCAAAAGCAAUAAUCUUUACUUACCAUUUCAAACGUUUGACUUCAGUUCAGUGGUGUCAAAGUUUUGGGAAUUCGUGUUGGGGUGCUGUUUGGCAGAAGGUUUCCUUUCCAUGGUUACUCUGUCAGUUCCAGUGGCUUGUGGGUUCUUUACUUGGUCUCGUUUAAGCAAUGUAAAAGCUUAAAAAGAGGGUUCCUUGUUAAGAUUAGAUGGUUGUUGUGGUCACUGCUCCAGGACUUGCACCAUACUCUCUGUUCAAUGAACUGCCCCAUAUGUCAACAAAGAUCUACAAUUUUUAAAACAAGAUACAAAUGGAGAAACAACUGAUCUAAACUUUAUUUCCAGCACCCUUCUGAAAGAUAGCUUGUAAUCCAUGUGGUUAACAUUCUUUCAAUCUCAUGCUGAAAUAUUAAUUUCAUAGUUUUAGCAGUACUGUGUGUUUGCCAAGCAUGCAUUCACACACACACAGCGUUCACUUUUUGGCUGAAGAAACCUUUGUCGCAACAGGCGCUGAUGUGGCAGGAGAGGUUGUAGAGGUUGGACCAGGAGUAACAAAUUUCAAAACUGGUGACAAAGUUGUAGCUAUUCUAAGCCACAUUGUAAGUGCUCAUUCAAUAUUUUGGUGUUUUUUAUUUCCUUAUUUUCGUAAUAUUUCAAAUGAUUUACAUUGGGGUCAACCUUACCCUCACUUGCGCCUUAAAUAAUGUCAUAUCAAAUAAGCCAGCUUGCAUCAACACGGCCUGAAGGUUACACGACAUGGAUGACUGGUUAUAAGCUAAAAAAUCAACAUGAAAGGGGGUUGGGGGUGAUUUGAAGAGUGAGAUAAUAAAAUUGUUGCAUUCAUCAUAUUAGAUAAAGCACAAGUAGAAAAUUGUUUCCAGGUAUUGACAGAGGUAUGAGUCAAUAACAAAUGUGAAUAAUUGAUAGCUAAAUCUGUCUAUUGUGUGAACAGCCAACCUUCAUGCCCUCAAUAUCUUUCAUGAAAGUGAACGGUGAAAUACAACUUUCAUCAAGGACUACUUGUUGUUUCUCUUCUCCAUAGGCAACUUAGUUUCCUCCCCUAAAAAGUAAAAUCAGAUAACUCUGUUUUGGACAUUUGCUCAGCUUCAAUGAAACACAAAAGCGAUACCUUAAUGUCGUCAUUGUAGCUACCUUUUUUGGAAAGAAAACAGAUCAAAGCCCUUGAUGCUUAUGAAUUUUUUUUACUAGUUUGUAGUAUUGCCAACUUGAGGCGCAUUAUAGAGGUUAGUUUGCUUAGAUGCCUUGCUCAUGGAUCUUGUAUACCAUUAAGUGUUACAUAGGAGUUUGGACCUGGGACUUGGCACAUGCUAUCUACUUAGUUGUACACAUAUGAAAAGUGCAUUUUAGCAUUUGGCAAUCUUAUGUGUAUGGAGGAAUUUUACCAUUGGUCUCUGAAUUUUGUUUCGUUCUGUUUCUUUGAUUAAUUGUUGUGUGCUCUAAAAACAACAGAGUGGAGGUGGACUAGCUGAAUUUGUAGUGGCUAAGAAGAGCUUGCCAGUUGCAAGGCCACCUGAAGUUUCAGCAGCUGAAGGUGCAGGCUUGCCUGUUGCUGGGCUCACAGCUCACCAGGCUGUCACUCAAUCUGCUGGGGUCAAGCUUGAUGGAAGUGGUAACCAGAAAAAUAUUCUGAUCACUGCUGCCUCAGGUGGUGUAGGUCACUAUGCAGUUCAGCUUGCAAAGCUUGGAAACACUCAUGUGACUGCCACUUGUGGGGCUCGUAACAUCGAAUUUGUGAAGAGCUUAGGUGCUGAUGAGGUUCUGGAUUACAAAACCCCAGAAGGAGCAGCUCUGAAGAGCCCAUCUGGUAAGAAAUAUGAUGCUGUGAUCCACUGCGCUGCUGGCAUUCCUUGGAGCACUUUUGAGCCAAAUCUGAGUGCAAAUGGGAAGGUUAUAGAUAUCACUCCUGGCCUCAGUGCCUACAUGGCUUCUGCUUUUAAGAAACUUACUUUCUCCAAGAAGCAGCUGGUGCCGCUGCUUUUGAUUCCCAAUGGUGAGAACCUGAAUUAUCUUGUUAAUCUGGUAAAGGAAGGGAAGCUUAAAACAGUCAUCGACUCAAAGCAUCCAUUAAGCAGGGCUGAAGAUGCUUGGGCAAAGAUUAUCGAUGGUCAUGCUACUGGGAAGAUCAUUGUGGAGCCGUGAAUGAAAAUAAUGUGCUUGAAUUGCUAAAAUUUCUGCAACUGUGAGGUCUUUCCUGUACAAUGUGGAUCCGAUGGGACUGGAUGUUUCCCUAAAUAAUAGGGUUUGGGUUGAGUUUAUGAACUAUUGAUUAUGUUUGUUCUUCAAUAUCAGAUGCUUCUUUUUUCAUUUUGGUGUUAUUUUAUUUAUUUAAUGACGUGAGACUCACCCAUAUGGGCUAAUUCUAGGUAUAGUUUGUCGUCUAGAGAAUUGAUGUCCUAUGUUGCAGGGGACAUUUCCACAAACUAUAACUAUGAAAAGCUAAAUACGACAAAAAGGUGAUCACUUAGGUUUUUUUUUCUUUUUUAUUUGGAGACCCGAUGAUGAGAAAGAGUUUGAAGAGAUUUUAGAGAGAGAAUUGAGCUAACGGAGCUAUAACUCCGCCACCCACAGGUAUUUUACUGAAAAAACUGAUUUCGAGGCAGCCAUAUUCGCCGGGUUGGUGCUCCUCCAGUCAUAGUUAGAUCGACACCAUAUUGCUUAGGGAGGUUCACUUGGGUAUCCUCUUUGUUCUUAACGAUGUAGAUUAGAUUUGCAUAACCCUGGAAUUUUGUGAUUAUUAUUGAAACUAUUCUUCAAGCAUGAACACUAAUUACUCAAAAAUGGUAGACUGAUUCAAAAAACCCAGAAACUAGUCAACCGGUUCACCCUUCAGACCACUACCCACACCACCAUAGUCACUAAAUUAGACACCAACAUUGCCCCUAAACCAUCAUAGCACCCUACAUAACCACAAUCACAAACAUCAAGCAUACCACCACCAACAUAAAAAUUAAACCUCUUUUUGAGACUUGGACUGAGAGAGUUAUUCACUGAUUCUAGUACUCGCUUUGCUUUUAACCUCAUACCUAAAUAGCAGGUUGAAACCCGCCUAAAGAUCUUUGAGGAGAUACUAACAAAAAUGCUCAGCAAUGAAACUGAUGCAUGAUUGGUUUCUUUCCUGGAUUUAAAAUGUCAUAUAUUGUUGUUAACACUAUCGCUAACAGAGUAUAAAAGAAUUGUGGUAUGAAGAAUGUAAUGACCACUUCUAUGGGUUCAUGAUUUUUCUUUAUAUCUAUGUUUAAUAUAUGAAAUUGAAAUAUAUGAGGACUUAAUGGGCCCUUAAAAAAAGUUAGAAACUAGACUCCUAAGUAUAAUCUUGGUAUUAUUAGACUAUUGGAGACCAAAAUUGCUAUGGCUAAUAUGGCGUGGUUGAAUUGGGUAUUGCAUUGCCUUCCUGGACUUUUCUUUCUAAUGUUAGUGUUGACUCUAGAUGUUACAUUCUAGUGGGUUGAGAUCCUUUUCAGUAUAGUCUUUAUUGUGUGGGUUACUUAUGAUGUUACUAUUCUCUCCUUUAAUAUUUCUUUCAGUGUGACUUUUGUAAUGACUUAAAUACACCUACCAGAUGUAAGCUUCUAUGGGAUUAUAUUCGUUAACAAGCUUCUUUUUUUCCUUCCAUACUAUGGGUUUUGAUAAGCUCCUCUUUUUUCUUCCAGACCAUGGGUUUUGAUGAGGGACUUUAAUGCCAUUUAGAGAUUUACUGAUAAAUCAAACAAAGAUAGAACUUGGUGUGUGUGUGUGUGUGUGUGUUGGUUGUUGUAUCUAUGAUUUUGAGCUAGUACAGGUGCCUUAUACAAGGUUGAAGUUCUUAUGGUAUUAUGGUCCACAGGGAGGGGAUGCCAUUUUAAAAAAAUUAGAUUGGAUUUUUGUUAACCUUUUUUUUUUCUUCUCUUGGCUAAAUGCUCACUCUGAAUUUUUGCUAAGAGACCAUUCCGAUCAUAGUGCUAUGAUUCUUCAGCUUGGUAUUUCUGUGAGUUAGAUUCAUUUUUAUUUUAAAUUCAUGAAUUUAUGGAAUGACGGUGAAGAUUUCUUGGAUGUGGUAGGAUUGAUUUGGCGAUUAAAGGUUAAUGGCAACCCUAUUUACAUAUUCACUUCCAAGCCACGCUUACUGAAGCCUAAGCUUAAGACUUUGCAUCGCCAUCAUACUAGUCAUAUAUAUAGUAAAGUGACUAAGGUAAAGACCAAAUGGACUAUACUUAGGUUUUGCUUUAUGAAAUCUUCCAAGAAGUUUCUUAUUGCUAAAAGGGAUCUUGCUAGAAGAUACCUUCAGUUAUGCAAGGAUGAUGAGGCCUUUUAUAAACAGUGGUAUAGGAUUUAGUGGCUUUAGCUUGGUAACAGGAAUACUAAGUUCUUUCAUAGAUCUCUGAUCCACAGGAAGGUUAGGAACAUGAUUUAUGAGUUGACUGAUGAGGCAGGGAUUCAGGUUCAUGAUCAGCAAGGUUUUGGUCAGUUGGUAGUUUGUUACUUUCAGAACCUCCUAGCAGCCUUUACAUCCCCACAUGAUAUGGAUGUCUCUAGGUCUAUUCAUCUAACAUCUCUGAUGCCUUGUUGCCUAUCUUAGAGAUGGAUUUUACAGAUGAGGAAAUUAAGGUAACCUUGUUCUCCAUACUGGAUGACAAGACACCUAAGCCAAAUGGCUUCACCUAUUUGUUUUUCAAAAAAAAAAUUGGGCUAUUAUUAGGGUGGAUCUUAUAGCUGCAAUUCAAUAUUUCUUUGAUUAUUACACUUUUCCCUAUCUUUUAUACUAGCUAUAGAAGGCUUAGGAGGAAUUAUUAGAAAGGCCACUUAGGACCUCGGGUUUUGGUUAACUGAAGAUGUAAACAAAACUAUAUCACCUAUAUUUGUUUUGCUGAUGACCUUAUGGUAUUAUGUCAUGCUGAUAUAGACUCGGUGGGAAUUUUAUGAAGAGUUUUGGAUGCCUUUGUUGGGCUUUCUAGAUUAGCCAUUAACCAGGAUAAGAGUUUUGUCUACUUGUUAGGGGUGGAUGAUGACCUAAAAAUUGCUUUUCAGGAUCAUUUGGGGCUCAAGUUAAGAGCUUUGUUGGUUAAAUAUCUUAGUGUCCUUUUAAUCAUAACCAUAUUGACUCAUAAUGACUGUAUACCUCUGGUGGAGCAGAUUAUCUUCAGGAUCAAGCUUUGGACAUUAACAUUCCUUGUUUAUGUUGGUUGUCUUAAGCUAAUCAAAUCCGUUCUUUUCUUUUUUUCAUUCAGGUAUAUUGAUCUACUAUGUUUAUCUUACCUUGCUUUAUUAUUAGGUGGAUUGAGAGUAUUUUAGAUGCCUUCCUCUAGAAAGGUUCCUAUCUCACCCACUCAUGGACUAAGGUUGCAUGGGCCUCGGUUUGUUACCUUCUAAAAGAGGAGGGGGGGAUUAAAGAUUAAAAUGGUCAAGAUUUGAAAUAGAGCAACUACUCUAAAGUAUAUAUAACGGUUCCUUUCAAACAACUCCUCAGUAUAGGCAUAAUAGGUUCAUAGAUAUUUGCUUCGAGGGAGAUCCUUUUGGCCUAUUAAACUUACCUCAACCACUUUAUGGUUUUGCAGGAAGAUUCUACUUAGUAGAGACUGGUGUAGAGGGUGUUUGUUUCUUGUAUUGGCAACGAUAUGAGUGUAUCUUUUUGGUUGGACUACUGGUUGCUAGAUGGGGGAUGAUUCUGCGAUCUUCUACCUUUCAGGGUGUUAUCUUUUACAUGGUUUCCUUGAAAUACGAAGGUCUUAUCUAUUAUUUCAGAUGGAGCUUGGGCAUUUCCCAUGGGUCAUCACGAUCUUCAACCCUUUUAGGAUUCAAUUCAUUUCCAUCCUCGGAUUGUUGUUCCAGAUCACUAUGCCUGGAAGGGUCAUUUAUCAGGAAGGUUUACUAUUGACUCUGCCUAGAAGGUUUUUAAAGAUUCUAAACCCAUAAAAUCUAUGCAUCACCUUCUUAGGUUUUCAAAUCACAUCUCGAGAUACUUUUUUAUACCAUGGCUUACUUUUUUUGGUUGGCUUCACACCAUGUACAGACGUCAUGCAUAUCAGAUCAUCACCUCCUCGGCAUGUAUCCUUUGUGGGUUGGAUGUUGAGACAUACGACUAUUUGUUCUUUCAGUGCCUUUUUUCAGCUGCGGUUUGGGGGGCUACCACGAGCAGGACCCUUAUGGACUAGCUUGGUAUGGCAUGUCGACCUUUGAUUUAGUGGGCUUAUACACACUUUUAGAAAAAGAAGGAUUUCACUCUUCUGCUUGCUCGGCUAGUUCUCUUAGCCACAAUUUACUUCAUCUGGUAUGAAAGGAAUAACCGAGUCUUUCACCAUACUUAUCAACCUCACCAUGAUGUUAGUAAGGAGAUUUAUAAGCUCAUCCAGUCCAGGUUGAUUGAGCUUGCACCAUGAUAUCAGAUCCUAGCCGCCCUUAGGUCCAUAUGGCGUCUUCCAGUAUCCUGAGUCCAUCGCUCUUGGUGUCCUUUAAGUUCUAGUUCACAAUUCUACUCUUUUGCAAAAUUGGUCGACCAGUUCUGAUCUUUUCUAGAAGUCAGCUGACUAGUUUGUGGUUUUUUUAUUUUUUUGGGUUUUUGCUUGUACAACCGGUCGAUUGAUUUUGCAUAGUUAUCAAACCCGACCUAGGGGUUGACUUGGUCAAGGGGCCGGGUCGCGGGUUACACGGGUCAACCCGAAAAAUUUUUAAAAAAAUAUUUAAAGUUUUAAUAUUUCAUUUGAAAAGGUUGAGGAACAAUUCAUGUUAAUAUAGGCUAUACAUGUUGUAAAUAAUAAAGUUUAAAAGAAUAUUUUAAAUUUUUUGUUUAUUUCACAUUGAAAAGAUAUUAUGUUAUCCUUUUAAGUUAAAGUAUUUAAACCAAAAAAGUUUUUUUUAUCUCAUAUUGAAAAAACAUAAUUUUUUUUUCUUGUGAACAUAGACUAUAUAUUUUAAAAAGUUUCAAAUCCCACAUUGAAAAAAUAAAUUUUUUCUUAUAAACACACACACACACACACACUAAAGAGUUUUAAAUCCUUCAAAUCUUAUAUUGAAAAGAUACUAUGUUAUCCUUUUAAGUUGAAGUAUUUAAACCAAAAAGUUUUUUAUCCCACAUUGAAAAAACAUAACCUUUUUUCUUGUGAACAUAGAGUAUAUAUACUAAAUGGCUUCAAAUCCCACAUUGAAAAAAAUAACUUUUUUUUUUGUGUGAACAUAGAGUAUAUACUAAAGGGCUUUAAAUUUCACAUUGAAAAAAUAACUUUUUUCUUAUGGACAUAAAAUAUAUAUACUAAAGGGUUUCAAAUCUUUCAAAUCUCACAUUGAAAAGAUAUUAUGUUACUUUUCUAGUAUGUAUAUAGUGAACUUUGAAAAAGAUUAAUAACCAACUAAAAAAAUAUGAAAAAAAAGGGUCUAGCAGAAAAACCACAUUUGAAAAAACAAAAACGGGUCUCAUCUGGGUUCACCAGGAUCAUGAGUCGACCCGUCGGGUCGCCCGGGUUUGGCCGGGUUUUUGCACUGGCCGGUCUUUUUCUUUACCCGGAUCGGUCUAGCCACCAGGUCCCAGGUCGACCCGCUGGGCCGGUCUAGGUUUAAUAACUAAAUGAUUUUAGGGUUUCUAGAAAUCUGUUGAUUGGAUACCUAAUUGUUGUUUAGGCAAUUUAGGUCUUGGACCUUUUUAUCUUUUCUUUAGUUUAUUUUGUACCUGUUGCCUAAGGUCUAUCGACUCUAGGUAACGAGUCUUUGUACUUCUUGAGAUAUACUCCUCGUAUCUUUGUACAAUUUUCCUUUUUUGUACAAAUUACACUUAUAAAAAAAAAACUUAGUUUUAAAAGUAAUUAGAAAACUUCAAAUUGGACUUGUAGAGAUUUUAGGUAAGCGAUGAGUUAUACCAAAGAAAAAAAAAUUAAAAUCACCUUAAAGUAUCAUAUCUAAGAUAAGUUGUUUUGUAUUUGUUUUUAAAGAUAAAAGGUGUUAGUUGUGCUAUAUGUUAUGGUUGCUUAAAAUAAUAUGUGUUGAUUAUUGUGGAUAAAAACUUAAAUUAAACUUAAAAAAAAAGUGAUUUGAGACCUUGGAGUGAAGAAUAACCAAUCUUCACUUUUAUGAAAAAUAGGCUUUGAACCUGAAAAGAUGAUGAAUGAUUAAUUGAACUUAAGCCCGUUUCAUUUUAUCACGAUCAAAAUGAGCUUAAAAGCCACCAUUUACUCUCGAUGACUUAUAUGGGAUACGUCAACCUAACCCAAAUUCGCUCAAGGGAAGGUGUAAACAAAAUCCAAAAAAAUAAAUAAAUAAACAAAAGAUCAUGAACACAUAUUUAUAUUUCAAAUGUAAAAUGAAUAAUAUUGUAAACAUCCAAAUAAUAUUUAUAUAUUUUUAAUUAUUUUUAAAAAACAUAUGUUGUCACCAUACAGGUGACGCCGCUACUAAAGACGCAAUAGAUUGGAAGAUUGAAAAAAUAUCACGAAAAGGUAUUAACGGGGUACCCUUGAACCCUUAAGUCUAUAUUCACACAUUUAAUAAUAGAAAUUAAAAAAAACGUUAAAAUAGUGACAUACAUUAAUUAAUUUUAUUAUCUUUCAUGCAACAUUUGAGGUAUAAGACUCGAUCAUGAGUCGUACUAUCCAAUUGAUUUUUGGAUAAAAAAAUGAAUAAUGCACAACAUAAAAAAAAUAAAUCUCAUCUUAGAAAAUAUGGUGGCCUUAAGACUUGAUGAUGCAAACAUGAGAAAUUAAAUAAAUAAAUCACAAAUUGAUGCAUCCAAUUGUCAUCAUCAAUCACCACUUUCUGAGAUUUAUUUUAUUAUACUACCUAUACAUGAAUUAUUAAAAAAAAAAACACAUACAUAGAAGCAUUGUUUUCAUGUAAAAAACAAUGAGAACAAAUUUCUAUGUCUCAAAUAAACCAUCACAUCAAUUUGUAAAUUCCUAUUAUCCUAACCCUUCGUGGGGAUACUAAUCAUCAACCUUAUAUCUCGUCAAUAUUUUUCUAUCCAACAACAUCAUACCCUUAGAGGUGUAAUGCAAUGACUUUAACCCCAACACUUCAGUCAAUAUGCGAACAAUAUAGUUUAAAGCACUUAAAGACAUCAUAAAUUAAAUCAAGGCCCAAGAUUAACCUUGGAAGUUACUAGAAUAUGUUGUGACAAUAAUGACGCAAGAGAAUCAUGCAUCACUACAUCGACACAUGCUUGAGAUGGUGACAUGUGUACUUCACAUCCAAUGCUAGACUUAAAAAAAAAGGCAUAAAUAGGACUUUCAAGCUCCUUCCAACUAUUACUACAAUCGGUAGUUCUCGUCUCAAGCUAACAAAGAGGGUUUUGGGUUCCUGUUAAAACUACAAUUUAAGACAUGUUAGUGUAUAUUUUUAUUUUUCUAGGUUUUUACUACUAGUGUUGGUGGUAUGGUUAGGUUUGUUUGGUGGUGUGGUUUAGGUGGAGGUUAGUUCGAGGAGGGUUUGAGGGUUGAGCUAGUCUGAUUAGAGAGAGGACAAUGAUUUAGGGAUGUUUUAGGCUAUGUUUGUUAUUUUGACAAUAUGAAGGUUUAGGCAAUGGAAAUGGCAAGGUUGAAUAGUUGAUGAUUGGUGAUGGUGGCAAUUGGUUAAGGAGAAAAUGAUAAAUAAGUUUGAUGUUAUAGUGUUUUGGGUUUUGUACAUUGUUUUAGUUGGAGGAUGUGGUGGUCGAUGAUGGAAGUUUUGGGUGCUUGUGUAUGGUUGUGUGUUGAUGGUUAGCUAGAUAGUCUGUAAUUGGUGUGGAAAAAAAAAGAGGUUAGCUAUUAAGAUAAAGAGAAAGGGUAGGGUUGUUUUUUCCCUUUUCUUUUCCUAUUCCUAUUAAUCUUCUUCUUCUUAUCUCUUUCUCUUUGAUCUCUUCUCUUCCUUUUCCUUUCCAUUUUUUUUUCUAGGAUCCAUGCCUUUUUUUUUGGAAUGUGUGUCUCCUUUCUCUUUUAUUUCCUUUUUUAUUUCCUUUUUUUCUAUGUGUGCUUGCUGCUUUUCAUAUAAAAUUUUGAAAUAUAUAUAGGGAUGUCUAAAUCGAAUGAUGGAUUAAAAGGUUUAUAGCUCACUUUAGUCCCUCUAUUUAUCCGCUUUUGCUACUUCACUUUAGCCCCCCCUCUUCUCUCUCUCUCUCUCUCUCUAUAUAUAUAUAUAUAUAUAUAUAUAUAAAAGAGAUGCGACCACCUCUUAUAUAUUUUAUGCCUUCUCUUAUAAAGAAACUCGUAAAGCCAACUCCAUUGAUAAUUCCAUCAAUUACUUGUUUAUCAAAAAAAUAAGUUAAUUAUGUCAAUUUUCUUAUGCCUUUUAUUAAAGAUAUUGUAUAAAAAACAUCUAUGUAACCAUGAUUAUAGGACCAAUCAUAGAUCACAUUUAUUAUUUUGUCCUAAAGAAUUCUCGUGGGACCUUUUUUAGCAACCAAAUUAAAGAAUUUCAAAUUUUGUAAGAAUGAAUAAAUUGGCUUAUAUAAAGAAGACUCUAUAAAUAUCCUAAAAGAAGCUAUACUGACUGAAAAAGUUGAAUUUGUUACCAACUCAUACCAAUCUACAGACUUAUUUUGAUUUUCAUGUACAAGACUUAAAGACAGAAUUAACAGUUUGGAUAAUAUAUCCAAUUCAUUUCUUCUUGAUUGAAUUGAUUGAAAGGCAUUCCUAUAGCUCCAAUAAACAAGGUAAAUAGUACCAAAACAAGCAUAAAAAUUAAUAUAGUAUUAUCCGAUUCGUGAGGAUAGAAAAAAAUUCUUUCAAUGCCAAAAUGAUUAAUAGUAAUAAAAGGACACAUCAUCUUUCUUACGGUACCACCAAUUUGAUAUAUUUUCUUCCAAAAAAAAAAGAAGCUCUUUCAUUAUUAUUUUUAUUAUUUAUUGUUAAUAAAGGUAAUAAACACAUUUUUUAACAUUUUUAAUCCUUGUUUACCCCAUAAAGAUAUUGAAUAGAAUGCACUAUUUUUUUUACCACUAUGAUUUUAAAAAUAAAUAUUUAAAUGCCCUUCAAAAGUAAGUAAAUAAACCUGAAAAAGUUAAAAUGCAGUUAAUCCUGUUGUGGAAAAAGCUAUUAUUGUGAAAAUAGGUGAAUACAAUCAUCUAUCAUUAAGAAUUUCAUCUUUGGACCAAAAACAGGCAAGAGGUGGAACACCAUAAAGAAAAAGGGUUCCUAAUAAAAACAAUAAUUUUUGUAAUUGGAACAUGUUUUGUUAAACCACCUAUAAGAAUCAUAUUUUGACUUUUAUCUGAAGAAUAAUUAACAAUAACUCCAAUUAAAUGAAUAAUGGAUCCGGAUCCUAAAAACAACAAUGCUUUCGAAUAAGCAUAAGUAAUCAAAUGAAAGAAAACAGCUCGAUAGGAGCUCAUACCUAAAGCUAACAUUGUAUAACCUAAUUGAGACAUUGUAGGAUAGGCUAGACCUCUCUUAAUAUUUUUUUUAGAAAAAUCUAAAGUACCUUUUAAUAGUACUGUUAUUAUACCUAUUAAGACUAUUAGCUUCAUUAUAUAAGGUAUAACUACGAAAAAAAGGAAGUCGAGCUACAAGAAAAAUUCCCGCUAUUACCAUGGUAGCAACAUGUAUUAGAGCAGAAAUACAGGUAGGUCCUUCCAUGACAUCCAGUAACCACACAUGAAGGGGGAAUUGUGUUGAUUUAGCAAUUGCACCAAAAAAUAAUAGAAAAGCACACAAGGUAACAAAUAAAAAAUGAAAAUCAUUAUCAUUUUUAUAAAUCAAAUAUUUCAAACAAAUCCUAAUAUUCAAAAUUGCCUAUUUUCUAAUAAAUACCUAAAAUUCCUAAUAAUAAACCAAAAUUAUCUACACAAUUAGUUACAAAUAUUUUUUGACAAGCAUUGGACACAAUAGGUUGUGUGAACCAAAAACCUAUUAAUAGGUAAAAGCACAUUCCAACCAAUUCCAAAAAGUAACUAAUCCUAACAUUGAAGUAUUGAAAACACUCAUAUAAACAAAAAAAUCUCAAACGGCCUUGAUCAUGAGACAUAUAACUGUCAUUAUAAAUAAUAACCAAAAUUCCAACCGUAGUAAUUAAUAUUAACAAAAUAAAAGUAAGUGGGUCAAUCAAGUGCCCGAACUCUAAGGAAAAAUCAUUGUUGAUGGUCCAAGAUCAUACAUAUUGAUAUAUGGAACUACUAUUUAUUUGCUGAAUAAACAGAUCGAUCAAGAAAACCAUAACUAUACUUAACAAUAAAACACUAGGAAAAACCCAUAUACAGUAAAACUUUUUUAUUAACACUUAAAAAAAGUAGCAAUCUCAUUCCUAUUGACAUAACGACUGAAAGUGUAACGAAAGAUAUAAUCCAUAAAUAUCCAUAAAAAAAUUCUUAUUAUUUUUAAUUAAAAAAUGAAUUGUUUCCUGUUUAUGAUUCAUUAUUCAUUGACUAUUCUCUCUUUUUAAUUUUAAAGAAUCAUCAAUACAAAAAAAAUGAAUUAAGUUUAACUUAUUUUAUCAAUGUCAUGAUAAUUUUUAUUUUUAAUCACUAUAGAAAAUAAAACCUUUGAUGCCUUCAAUCCAAUUAAAAGAAGUACUAGGUAUAUAAAAAUAUGUAAAUUUUGACUGAUCUAGUUUAGAUCAUAUGUUUGGGCUGGAUAAUGUAUCAAGAUAUAUACAUUAAAUUAGAUAAGAGUUUUUAAUUUUCAAUUUUAGAGAAUUUUAAAGUUCGGAACAGAACUCGAAACUUUUUUUAUAUAUAUUAUAUGUCUAUAAAUCAAUACUUAAUGGGUUUGCUAAACCUUAACAUAAAUUUUCUACCUAACAAAACCCUAAGGAUUAAUACAACAAAAUAGUUUAAAAAAUCUCUUCAAUGGAAUGUUGAAAUUGAAAAAAAUGAAAUUGUUUUUCAUUAAUUUGAAUGUUUCUAAAAAAAUAUUACAUUGAAUUAACUCCUUCAAGCUCGGCGAUUGAAUAAAAAAGAAUUAUUAUAAUUUUGAGCAAGUCACCAUGGUGAAAUCGGUAGACAUGUUGCUCUUAGAAAGCAAUGCUAGAGCAUCUCAAUUCGAGUCUGAGUGGCGGCAUAACAUUUUUAAAUUAUCUAUUUUUAAAAAUAUAGAAUAAAUCCUAUAAUGAAUUCAAUUUCGUAUGUAGAAUUAUGGAUAAUUAAAGUAUUCCCCUCUUUUUUAUGAUAUUUUUGACAUUAGAACAUAUAUUAACUCAUAUAUCUUUUUUGGUCAUUUCAAUUGUAAUUAUAAUUCAUUUUCUAACCUUAUUAGUCAAUGAAUUCGUGGAAUUCUAUGAUUUGUCAUAAAAAAAGCAUUUAACUACUUUGUUUUGCCUAAUAGGAUUACUAAUUACUCAUUGUAUUUAUUCGGAACAUUUACCAAUAAAAUGAUUUAUACGGAUCAUUAAUACUUCUUUCAUGGAUUUUCAUUAUUGUUCAUACAAUUUCAUAUUUUUUAAAACAUAAAAAUUAUUUAAGCACAAUACUCGCACCAAGUACUUUUUUAACCCAAGGCUUUGCUACCUAGGGUCUUUUAACUGACAUGCAUUAAUCUAAAAUCUUAAUACUUGCUCUCAAAUCCUAGUGGUUAAUAAUGCAUGUAAGUAUAAUGGUAUUAGGAUAUGCAACUCUUUUAUGUGGAUCAUUAUUAUCAACAUCACUUCUAGUAAUUACAUUUCAAAAGGUCAUAAAAAUUGUUGGUAAAAACAAUAAUUUAUUAAAUGAUUAAUUUCUCAUUGAUGAAAUCCAAUACAUGAUGGAAAAAAAUACUUUUAAAAAUACUUUUUUUCCUUUUUCUAGAAAUUAUUACAUGUUUCAAUUGGUUCAACAAUUAGAUCAUUGAAGUUUUUGUAUUUUUAGUAUAGGUUUUUUUUUUUUAAAAAAAAACCAUAUGUAUUUUUAAAAAAAACCAUAUGUAUUCUUUCAAGAGCAGUAUGGGUUAACGAAGUAUGAGAAUCAUAUUGGAAUUGGAACCCGAAAGAAACUUGGGCAUUUAUUACUUGGACCAUAUUCGCGAUUUAUUUCCAUACUCGAACAAAUAAGAAUUUCGAAGGUUUAAAUUCUACAAUUGUCGCUUUUAUCAGUUUUCUUAUAAUCUGGAUAUGUUGUUUUGGGGUUAUUUUAUUAAGAAUAGGACUACAUAGUUAUGAUCAUUUAAAUUAAUUUCUAAUUGAAUUGAAGAAAGAGUUUGACAAAUAUAACCAUAGAACAUCUUAAUAUAUAUAUAAAAAGCUUCAAGUAAGUCAUUGAGAGUAAUUCAAAAGGCUCUCGCAAAUGCUAAACAUAUCUAAUUACAAUAUAUAUAUGUUAUUCAUCAUUCAUUAUUCCUUGAUUUCUAUUUCUUUCAAUUUUACUCUAUAUUUUUCUUUUCCCUCUUUUUUAUGCUUGCCAAUGAUUGCCUUUUCUUCUUCUUCUUCUUCUUUUUUCUUGAUACUUGAUUUUUUUCAUUUAUUUUAUUUUGAUAUAUUUAUUUAUUUUUCUCAUUCAUUUUCCACUCACUUUUUAUUUAUUUAUUUUGUUUUGUUUAAAAGAUUGAUAUAAAAAAUAAUCUAAUGUGCUAAAAAAAUAUGAAAUGACUAUAAUUUUGAAAACUUGAUCAAAUUGCAUUGAAAAGAUAUUUUCAUGGAAGUUUUGUAUAUUUUUUACUUGAAAAUAUAUUGAAAAAUGAGGGUAAAAAAUGGGUUAUGACAACUAACUCUUCUUUAUAAUACUCAUAGUAUGAAGACAUUGGAGAACUCAUUUUUCUUUAACUUGUUUAGUAAGUUUGCAAAGAAAAGAAAAAUAAUGCAAGAAAAGAAAAAUAUUUUUGUAUUUUAAAGUUUUGUGUGCAAUAAUUAUAUAAUGAAAAUAAAAAUGGUCAUAUAAGGAGGCGACCUUAAAUUUAAAAGGAUCAAGUUGAGAGGUGAUCCAUCCUCGUAAAAAAGUAAGAAAAACCAUUUUGAUUGCAGGAUUUGGUUUGGUAUACUUGAUUGGAGGGUUAAGUCUCAUGACUGUAGGAUUCUACUCAAGAUGUCAUUAUAACAGGGUUGAACCUUAUAAUUACAGGGCAGAUUGAACUUGAUAUCUACUUAUACCUUUUUUUUAUAUCAUCAUGAAAAAACAAGAUAGAUAAUUAGAGAUAAAUUAAAAUAUGGCCAGUGACCAACGCGAAAUGAUUUUUAAUAUGUCAUUUUAUAAAGUGACAAAGUCAAAGUAAUUUUUAUCAUGUCAUUUUGUAAAGUGAUGAACUUGAAGUGAUUUUUAUUAUGUUAUUUUAUACAGUGAUGAACUUGAAGUAAUUUUUAACAUGUCAUUUUAUAGAGUGGCAAACUCGAAGGGAUUUUCAUCAUGUCAUGUUAUUAAAUGAUGAACUGAGAGUGAUUUUUAUCAUGUCAUUUUAUAGAGUGACAAACUUGAAUUGGUUUUCAGGAUGUCAUUUUAUAGAGUAAGGAGUUUGAAUGAACUUUUAUCAUGUCAUUUUAUAGAGUAACAUACUCAAAGUUGUUUUUUAUUAUGUCAUUUUAUAGAUGAUGAACUCAAAGUGAUUUUAAAAAUAUAGUCGUUGUAUAGAGUGCUGAACUCAGUGAUUUUCAACAUGUCAUUUUAUAUAAUGAUAAGCACUACUUAAAAUUAAAAAGGGAUAAAAUUGAGAGGUGACUAAUCUAGACAUAAAAUUAAAUGGAUCAAAUUGAGAGGCAACCAACCUCAAUAUAAAAUUAAUAAAUCAAAUCGAGAGGAGAUCCAACCUUUUUAUGAAUUUUUUUUUUUUGAAAAUUCUAUCAUUGGAACAAAUUAUGAAGCAUUCAACUUGAACAAAUUGAAAACCAAAAUUGACAAGAGCUUUUACCAACCCAAAACAAGUUAGAUAAUAAAUGUUUUGCAAAGCACUUAGCUUAAAAAAAAUUCACUACCAGAAAACCGGAGAAAACCAACGGAAUUACUGACGGAAUUUUUCCGUCGGUAAUAUAUACCGACAGAAAUAAUUCCGUCUCAAAAUCUGUCGGUAUAUACCGACGGAAUAAACCCGUCAGCGAAACCGUCGGUAUAUACCGAUGAAAUAUUUCCGUCGGUAUGUACCGACGGUUUCACCGACGGGGUAUACAGUUUGUCUGGAAAUAUGCAACGGCGUGGUGACGUCAGAUGAUUUUACCGACGGAAUUACCGAGGGAUUCAAACUGAUAUAGCCGUACAGUGAGGUGGCACUUUCACCGACGGAAUCACCGACGGAAGUAAUCCGUCGGAAAAAACCAUUAUAUGCCCACCAAUCUACCGACACUCUCUUCCUCUGUUUCUCCUUCUUCUUCUUUCCCAUCCCACCUCUCCCCUCCCAAACUGCAGCCAAACACCCAUCCCAACUCUCCACUAUUCUCAACAUGAGCACUCAAGUUUCUUAUAUCUUGUAUGUGGUCACAAUAUCCGUUUCUUAUAGAUUUUAUUAUUUUUUUUGUAAGUAAAUCUAUCCUUUUUAGUUUUAAUAUUUAAUUGUGAAUUUUAUUGUUUUAGUAUAUGUAUUUUGUUAACGUUUGUACUUGUUUAAUUGUUAUUUGUCAAAGAAACUUGUAGUAUGAAUGUAUAAUUUUGUAGUUGUUAUAGUUUGUUUUAGAUUUUGUCAAAUUAUAUUUGUUUAUAAAUUGUUGAAAUUUUGUUUGAAUUACACCGAAUAAUUAAUAGCUUGUGAUGAAAUAAAUAAUUAAUAGCUUGUUUAACGAGUCUUGUUUAAUUGUUAUCAAUUCUAUUUCGAAGUUGUGAUUUCUGUAAAUUUAUAUAUAUAUAAAUUUAUAUGUAUGAACGUUGAUAGUUGAUAAUUGAUAAUGAAUAUUUAACAUAAGUGUUGUUUUAGUUUGUUGGAUAAUGUCGGGGAAAACCAAUAUUUUUGUUAUGUUUUAUAGAGGUUCAAUAGAAGUCAUGGAUGAUCGUUCAUGGAUGUAUCGGGACUCACCUUAAGGAUUGCGGAGGAUGGAUUAUUGUAACGGUGUCCAGGGUUUUAUUAAUUUUGCAACAUCUAUUCCGAGGAAUUUUACUGAUGGCGGUAUUAGGUGUCCAUGUAGGAAGUGUAAAAAUUUAAAGUUUUUGCAUCAAGAUGUUGUAACGAUGCAUCUUCUAACCAAAGGGUUCAUGGAAGAUUACUUGUGUUGGUAUGCUCACGGAGAACUAUUUGUUCCUGAUGAGAGCAUGGAAGAACAGGUGGUUGGGUCAACUUCUAGUGCUAGCAACAUGCAUGAAGUUGGAAAUGAGAACAGUAAUCCUUACAGGAAUAUGGUUAUGGAUGCAAUGAGAAUGAGUGAAGGUAAUGUCAGGGAAUGUCCAAUCGUAGAAGAAGAACCUAAUGCAGAUGCAGCAAGGUUUUUUGAUCUGUUAAGAGAUUCUGACGAACCAUUAUGGGAUGGCUGCACGAACCACAGUAAAUUAUCAGUCGUAGCACAGGUGUUCACUAUCAAGUCAGAUCACGGGUUGAGUGAGGCCGGUUAUGACAAGAUUAUUGAAUGGGCGAGAAGUAUUUUACCUGAAGGGAACAGGCUGAAAGAGAACUUCUAUGCUGCCAAGUCCAUGAUGAAACCCCUCGGUUUAGGAUACUAGAAAAUUGAUAUAUGCCCUAACUUCUGCAUGUUAUACUACCUUGAAAAUGCUGAGAUGACCGAGUGCAUGACAUGCGGGCAUUCCCGUUACAAACCCAAAACUGGUAGAGGGAAGACUCUCGUGGCAUAUAAAAAACUUAGAUACUUCCCAAUCACACCUAGACUGCAGAGGUUAUUCAUGUCACCAAGGACUGCUGAGCACAUGACAUGGCACCAAUCACACCAUGCGGUUGAUGGAGUGAUGGUUCAUCCUUCUGACGGUGAAGCCUGGAAACACUUUAACAGUAUGCAUCCUCACUUUUCAGCUGAAUCAAGGAACGUGCGUCUUGGGUUGUGUACAAACGGAUUCAACCCAUUCGGGUCAUUUGCUGCUCCUUAUUCUUGUUGGCCGGUCAUACUGACGGUUUAUAACUUGCCACCGGGGAUGUGUAUGAGGCCGGAGUUCAUGUUUUUAUCUAUGGUCACACCAGGUCCGAGCAGUCCGGGGCGGAAUAUAGAUGUUUGUCUUCAUCCGUUGAUUGAUGAGUUGACGCAGUUGUGGUCCUCUGGAGCUUUGACUUAUGACAUCUCGAGGAAACAAAAUUUUGUUAUGAGAGCAGCUUUGAUGUGGACUAUCAAUGAUUUCCCAGCUUAUGGAAUGGUUUCUGGUUGGAGCACGAAUGGAAAGCUAGCAUGUCCAUACUGUAUGGAGAACAACAAGGCAUUCACGCUAACAAACGGGGGUAAAGCUUCUUUUUUUGACUGUCACUGUCGUUUCUUGCCACAUAACCACAGGUACAGAAAGAACAGAAAGGAUUUCUUUGUUGGCAGAGUUGAAAAUGAUGUUGCACCCCCGCGUCUUCCCGGUGAAGAAUUGUUUGAUGUUAUGUCAGAGUACGGUGAAAUUAUGUUUGGUCUCCAAUCAGGUAAGCAGAAGUUUCCUGGUUUUGGUUUGACCCAUAAUUGGGUGAAGCGAAGUAUGUUUUGGGAGCUUCCUUAUUGGAAGACCAAUCUUCUUCGCCAUAACCUUGACGUCAUGCACAUUGAAAAGAACGUGUUUGAGAACAUUUUCAACACCGUCAUGGAUGUGAAAGGGGAAGAAAAAGGACAACAUCAAGGCUAGAUUGGAUGUAGCGCUGUUCUGUAACCGUAAAAAUAUGGAGUUGGUUUGUGAUGGGUCACGGGUCGCAAAACCAAGAGUAAGCUUCGUGCUAGAGAAAAACGCACAACUACUAGUCUACAAAUGGCUUAAGAGUCUGCGUUUCCCCGAUGGACAUGCCUCGAACAUAUCAAGGCUGGUUAAUACGGAGGAAUGCAGAUUAUAUGGAAUGAAGAGUCAUGACUGCCAUGUUUUUAUGCAAACACUCAUCCCAUUAGCUUUUCGUGAUUUGUUGCCAAAGGGGAUAUGGGAUGCACUAACGGAGAUUAGUCAUUUCUUCAGAGACAUAUGCUCCAGCAAGUUGAAUGUUGAUCACAUUGAAAGGCUUGAAAAAAAUAUCGUCGAGACAAUAUGCAAACUUGAGAUGAUAUUCCCUCCAUCAUUUUUUGACUCAAUGGAGCAUCUACCCGUACAUUUACCGUUUGAGGUAAAAGAUGGAUGUAUCCAUUCGAGAGGUUAGAUAUUACAGUUGCUAUGACAUUUAUAAUUAAAUGUUUUUAAUUGAUAAUUUAUAUUUUUAAUUGAUAAUUUUUUAUUAAAAUAUAUAUAUAUAUAUGCAGGUACUUGUUCAAUCUUAAAAAAAAGGUUAAGAACAAGGCGCAUGUUGAGGCGUCAAUAUGUGAGGCGUAUAUUGUUGAGGAGAUCUCAACAUUUAUCUCAUACUAUUUCGAACCUCAUUUGAGAACGAGGAUAAACCGUGUUCCACGGCAUGAUGAUGGUGGUGAAGUGCAUUCAAGUGGGAACUUGUCAAUAUUCUCCAAUCCUGGACGACCCACACCUAAAAAUACCGUGAGGGGAAGAUAUUUGUCUGAAAUAGAGUUCAGACAAGCACAUAAUUAUGUCCUAUUUAACUGUGAUGAGCUGAGACCUUUUAUUAAGUAAGUAGAUGUUCGACUUAAACUUUGUCAAGAGUGUACUAUUUAUGUUUUGUGAUACCAUACACUUAUAUAAUUUGGAACAACCUUGUAGGCAACAUCGACGAUACUUACUGUCCAAUAACUCACAGCUGACCGAAUCCCAGAUCUUUCAAUUACAAGAUGAACAAUUUGCCACAUGGUUUAGAACACAUGUAAGUCCUAUCACAAACUUAUUAUCUCUUGCAAUGUAAUUAAUUAUAGUCAAUGUUACAUAAUAUCCGUUUAUUGAUUAUUGUUGUAUUUAAUUUACAAGCUAGGUUUAUCAAAUGGGAGGUAGUGCUGCUAUUUCACUGUCUUUACUAUGUCUGGGCCCUGAAAGAAAAGUCAAGUGCUAUAAUGGAUAUUUUGUUAAUGGAUAUGUCUUUCAUACUGAAGAAUACGGGCAUGGAAGAAAGACAUACAACAGCGGUGUUUGUAUUAAGGGAUCGACUUCUAGUGAGUUUGAAGUUGACUACUACGGUAGAUUGGAAGAGGUCAUCGAACUGCAAUAUCAUAGCGAGCAAAAUAGAGUGUUUUUAUUCAAAUGCUAUUGGUAUGACACAACUGACAGAGGAAUCAAAGUAGAUCCUCACUAUGGUCUCAUUGAAAUCAACUCAAAAGCUAGACACCGCAAUGUAAACGACGUCUUUGUUUUCGCAAAGCAAUGCCAACAAGUUUAUUACACAUACACCCCUUCCUUUAGAAAGGACCGAUCAAGAGUUGAUUGGUUAUCCAUUUUAAAAACAAAACCCAAGGGUCGUGUCGAGGUUGUUCAGGAUGAGAACGAAGACACAAGUGUGAUAGAUGAAGUCUUUCAGGCUAGUGAGUUGGUUGAACCAUACCGAGUUGCUCCGUCGAUUGACUUAGAAGAAAAUUCGAAUUUUCGUGUUUUCAACGAUAGUCUUGUUGAUGUUGACGCAGAGGAGUUGAAUGUUGUUCUGAGCUCUACUAGUGGAAAAAAGAAUGUUGUUGAAGAAGAUGAUAACGAAAUUGAAGAGUGCGAUGAAACUGAUGAUAACAAUUCAAUAGAGGACGAAGAUGAAAUUUCCGACUAACUAAACAUGUUAUAAAGCCUUAUUUUAUAAUGUAAUAAUAUGAAACAUGAAAUAUUUAUUCUUCUUUAAUGGUCAGCCCUUGUUAUUGUGUUGUGUGUGCUGUAAGAUUGCAAUUCAAGAUUUUUUGACAGGGUUACAUAAAAAAAUAAGAAAAAUUUACGGUUCACCGACGGGUAUACCGACGGACUAUAACCCGUCGAUAUUUCACAGAGAGUUGCAAAACAAUUUACGGGAUUGUGCCACAUUCACCGACGGCUUUUCCGACGGACAAUACCAACGGUAUCACUGACGAAUUGUCGUACAUCCCGAAGAGCACGCAUGUAUGACACGUGUCUGUUUGCGUGAAUACCGACUGCUUUGCCGACGUCCAAUACCGACGGCAUCACCGACAGAUUGUCGCACAUCCCGAAGCGCACGCAUGUCUGACACGUGUCCGUCUGCACGAAUACCGACGGCUUUGCCGACGUCAAAUACCGACGGAAUCACCGACGACGUACGCAUGUCUGACACGCGUCUGUCUGCACGAAUACCGACGGAUUUGCCGACGGAUUGAAAAGUUUGGUGGGAUUUUCGAACUUUUUUGGUGCGCAUUUCAAUUAAUUGCCGACGGAAUUUAAUUCCAUCGACAACAAUUAAUUUCCGUCGGUAAUUCCGUCGGAAAAAUUGCUACAUAUACCGCCCCAUCCCCCCACUUUGUUCAUUUUCUCCUCUUCUCCCUUUCUCUUCUUCUCUCAUUUAUAUUUAGCUUUUAGAAGGAUUUUAUUGUUUUGGUGGUAGUUUUAAAAGGUAUGUAUUCUUUUUUCUUUAUCUUUGUAUUUUUUUAUUUUAAUUAUGAUUAUUUUUUUUGGUGUUCUUUGUUUUGUGUAUUGUUUGUAGAUAAAAUCUUAAAUUCAACACACUAUUAAGGUAAGCAUUUUUUAUUCCCAAAUUUAUUUUGAAUUGAUAUAGUGUUUUUUAGUUUUGUGUAUUGUUUGUUUUGUGUUUAUGUUGUGUGUUGUGUAGGAUAUUAUGAUAUUAUUGUUUGUAUUGCUAUAAUUGUUAUUGUUGAAUUUAUGUUAAAAAUGUUAAUUUAUAUAUAUAUAAUUGUUAUUGUUGAUUUAUUUUAAAAAUGUUAAUUUAGGAUAUUAUAGAAUUACAUUUAAUUAGUUUAUCUUAAUUUAGGAUAUUAUUGUUUGUAUUGCUAUAAUUGUUAUUGUUGAAUUUAUGUUAAAAAUGUUAAUUUAUAUAUAUAAUUGUUAUUGUUGAUUUAUUUUUAAAAUGUUAAUUUAUAUAUAUAGAAUUACAUUUAAUUAGUUUAUCUUAAUUUAGGAUAUUAUUGUUUCCAUGUCAUUGUUAUUGCUUGUUAUUACAUUUUUAUAUUUAUGUGUACACGUUAAUUUCUAUUUUGAGGUCCAUUAGGGUCGAUCGUGUUAGGAAUGAUAUUGAUUUAGUUAUCUUUUGCUUUUGACCAUGUAAUUAUUUAUAAAUUAAGAGUCUUGUCUCCUAAAACUUGAAAUGUAAUAUUAAUCCGUAAAUUUGAAUGUAUGACUUUAAUCUAAAGUUUGUAACUCUAAGUACCAAUUUAACAAUGAAUGUUCAUAGUUGUAAUUCUAUAUGAUGUUAUUGAAUAAAAUGCUGUGUUGAUGAUGAUGAGUUGGGUUGAGAUCCAGGAUGAUUGGAUCGGGAUGUGAAAUAAAAUUGGAAGUGUAAUAUGAUUUUGUCGACAACUUGGGACCCCCUAGUACAGGGGAGACUCUGUCGAUUUUUUUUUUAAAUAAUUGAAGUUAAUUAUGUAAUUAUUCGUAUAAAUUUGUGUAGAUGCGUAGAAUGAAAUCUACAGCAAGUCGUCAGAAGACGGUUGCAGCUAGUUCUUCUAGCAGCGAGGAGGACGUAUCCUUAAGUGCUGAUCACGGCGAGGAAUCUACGCCAACUUGUGAUGCUGCCUCUUCUAGCGUGGUUUCACAGCGCAGAAGCGGUGUGUCUUCACAGCGGGGUCAAUUCACCCGCAAGUACCAGGCACAAUGGAAGGAUGACCUCUCAAUGUAAGUUUGUUUAGGUUUUAGUUUUUUUAUAUAUAUACUUAUAACAUAAUUUAUGAACAACUAAUUAAUAUUACUACUUUUAUUUAAUUUCAGGUUCACAAACAUUGAGGCUGCAAGGACUAUAAAUUGGCGUUUAAAUCGUCGAUGGAGAUUCUAUUGUUUCAAUGGAGCCAGGUUUCCAAACAUCCUGAGUGGAAACCUAAUAUCGAUGCAUGGUUUAAGCGAUUUCAGGUCGGUGUUAAUUUUUAAUUUCCAGCUUAUUUUUAAUAAAUGAUUUUUAUAAUUUUAUAUCUUGUACUAUUUUUAUUUUAUAUGAAUUAUUUAUAUACACAGAACAAAUUUGAGUGGGAUAGGGCGGACAACAAUGUUGUGAGAAGGGUAUAGGAGAAUCACGCGGCAACUAGGUAACAUCGAAAAUAAUAUUUAUUUUUGUUUUAUAAUUUUAUGUUUUAAAUUCUAAUUUGUUACUAUGGAAGUAGGUUGCGUGAUUUUUGGUAUGACACCCAAAAAAAAUCAAAAAGACAUGCGAGGGAUAACGAUCUUGAAGGAUGGAAUGAGGUGGCGGUUUGGCAGGAAUUCAAACCGCCAUUCAUCUCGGGGGAAAUAUGGACGGCAUAUAUUGAGCACGUGACCUCAGAGCGGUUCUCACGGCGCUCACAGUCCGGCGCCGACAACCGGAACCGGCAAAUUCAUGGUUCGGUGACCAUGCACACUGGCGGAUCCGUCCCAUUCAGCGUACAUGCAAAGCGGAUGGUAAGAUUAAUUUUAAUGAAAUAUAUCGUUAAUUAAUUUGUCGUUCCUUAUAAUAUAUUUAACUUUCAACCUAUUUUUUCCUUACAGGCUGCGUCUCUUGGACGUGAACCGAGUCCAAUGGAGCUGUUUGUAGAGACGCAUGUGCGGGGUCAAGACCGCCAAAAGGGGGUGCAGCAGUUCGUGGACAACCGUGCUCAGCACUUCGUGGUAUGUUCGUUCAUUCAUUUUAUUUUGUAAGUUAUUAUUUUCUUGAAUUGCAUCUUGAAUUGCAUUUGAUGAUUUUUUUACCGAUGGAAUUUUCAGGAGACCUAUAAUAGCCGGUUGAGGGAGAGAUAUGGGGACAAUCCGUCGACCCAUCCAGAUUUCGAUCCAGAUUUGUGGAUGGAGGCGGGAUCGUCUGGUGGACCCGAUAAAAAUAGGGUCUACGGGCUCUCCAACACUACGGCUGAAAACUUGCGUUCGACUCGUAGUGUCUCAAUUGUUGGAAGCUCUCCAUCAGUAUCGAACACCCAGUCUGAGGAGUUCAUUGCGUUGAAACAACAAUAUCAACAACUCUCGACGAAUUAUGAUGAGCUCCGUCAAAUAGUCAUGGAGAUGAGAUCAAAGAUGGGUGACGAUACUUGUGCAGCUUCUUUUUGGCCGUAUAGUCCCGGGAACAACCAGCCUCCUCCUCCUCCUCCUCCUCCAGCUCCGUCGCUAUUCUAGUUUAAUUUUGUUUUUUAAACACAUUAAAUUUGUAAUGAAUAUUAUUUAACAUUACUUUUAUAUUUUUAAUGUUUAAUCCAUUUUUAUUUGUUUAUUAAGGUUUUUUACAAUUAAUAAAUUAUUUUUUUAUAUAUAUUUUAAAUACCUACCGACGGACGGAUAAUAUCCGUCGGUAUUUCACAGAGAGUUGCCAAACAAUUACCAGUCAUGCCAUCAUUACCGACGGAAUCACCGACGGAUACUAUCCGUCGGUGAUUAAAUGCAGACGGAUUUACCGACGGAUAAUAUCCGUCGGUAUUUCUCAGAGAGUUGCAAAACAAUUACCAGCCAUGCCAUAAUUACCGAUGAAAAUUCCGUCGGUAAUGCCGUCGGUACUUAUCGUUGAAAUUGCAGACGGAUUUAUUCCGUCGGUAAUGUUCCCGCGGGAAACUUUUUUUUGGCGCGCGCGUUUCCGUCUGUAAGACCGUCGGUGGGUGUUUUUUUUUUAUUUGCGACAGACUUAGCGACGGAAAUGGAAGUUACCGACGACUGUUAUACCAACAGACGUGUUCUAUCGGUAAUUAUUUCACCGACAGAUUUCAUUGCUUUUACCGACGGAAUUAGUCCGUCGGUAAAACUGGAUAAUGUUGUAGUGAUUGUUUAAAAGGUUAAAGGAUAUACUUGUAACCUCAACUUAUUCUGGUUUUAGUUUUUAAUAGUACCUCUUGAAGCCAAGGGAAAAUACAAGUUACAUAUAUUGAAAGCUUAAUCUUCUUUCUUGACAUCAUCUGUAUCUUUAAAGAUUUAUAACUUGGAAGUAUAUUAACUCUACUUGUCAUUAUCUCAGGUGUAGUUUAAGCUUAUCUUUCCACUGCCUAUUUUUAUUAUUUUAUUGAUGUUGUUACCUCUUUUUAUUCUUAGUUUGUAAUAAAGUUUUUCAAGUCAUCAUUUAAGAAAUUCUAAAAACGGUUUUAAAAUACAAAAUCAAAUUAGGUUAUAUUUUUCUUCCUCGACUUCAAUUUAUUCUUUAGGUAAUAUUGAGAUUUUAAACAACCACAAUCAAGUUAUUCUCUAUAAUAAAACUCGUGGACAUCAAGAUAAAUCAAUUUGAUUGUUGAAAUAUAUGAAAACAUCGAUUUUAUUUUUCUAUAUCGGAAUCUGGUAAAACUCUCUCUCUUUCACAAAUUAAGAAAUUAAAAAUAAUAAAAAAUAAAGUUAUGUCAAAAUUGAAUUUAAAAAAACAUAAGGGACUGAACAACUAAGAAUUUUAAAAUUGAAGAACUAAAUUGUAUUUUCCAUACCAACUUUAAACACACCAUCUAUUUUCGACGUAAUUUUUAUGUUGGUCAUCUUUCUUUUAGCUUUCUUCAAGUAUACUUGUUAUGUCAUUUGUGACACAGUAGGUCUCUGUCGUGUCUCUCUAUUAGUUUAACAGCGAAGCCACACCUGCUCUCCUGCCAGUUCCUUUUACAUUACACUACUUUACCUCUCUUCUGUCCGUGCCCAGCUUUUUUUCUUCUGUUUCUCUGAUAACAACGGCGUGGCUUCUAUUGGACAUGGCAGUGAAGUUGAUGCAUGCCGUUCAGUAUAGCAGCUAUGGUGGAGGCGCCGCUGGUUUAAAGGUUAAUUGUUUUUUAACCAAAUUUCCACUUUUUGUUAGUGUAAUUAUAUGUCCCUUUUCUUUGAUGACCAUUUAGUUAGUUGGUAAUUGUUGAAAUAUGGAGAUGAAUUAUAGAUUGUUGCCCCCAUUUGUUUUUGUUUCUAAAUUAAAUAAUAAUAAUAAUAAUAAUAAUGGAUUAGAUGUGAUGUGAGGUUUGCUUUAAUUUUUGGUAAAGGUGGCCAAAUGAAAAGGCAUUGAUGCACCUACUGUGAGUUACUACUAUUAUAUAAAUAGUUUUGCUUGUUGCAGCAUGUUGAGGUUCCAGUCCCUAGUGCCAAGAGGGACGAGGUUUUACUCAAGUUAGAAGCAACUAGUCUAAACGCAGCUGAUUGGAAGAUACAGAAAGGCAUCUUGCGCCCCCUUUUCCCUCGGAGAUUCCCUUACAUCCCCGGUGAUUCACUUCUUUCUUUAUGUGGAUUUUUUGUGUACAAUCUAAUUCAGACACUAUCUUACUGCUUGUUGGGGCUUUUAAUUGUACAUAAAUUCCGCCGUAUAGCCUAAUCCACAAGGAAAUUGUUCUUUGUAAUGUUAGUUGAUUGCAUGAUUUUCUUCCUUUAGGUGCUUAAGCAUGAUUUUGAUUUUGAUUUAAGUUUGUGACGGUGUCGUGUUGCAUCUAAGAAACUUUGGAAAUGGGCUUUGUUGUUCCUUCGCUUAACAUUCAGAAUGCGGGAACUUGGAAACUGACAUGUCUUUGUAAUUUUUUUUAUGGUAUAUGACAACGCAAUGCAAUAAUCUGUGCUUACCAUUUCAAACGUUUGCCUUCAGUUCAGUUAUGUCAAAGUUUUGGGAAUUUGUGUUUGGGUGUUGUUUGGCAGAAGGUUUCCUUUCCAUAGUUACUCUUUCAGUUCAAAUGGCUUGUGGGUUCUUUACUUGAUCUGGUUUAAGCAAUGUAAAGGCUUAAAAAGAGGGGUUCCUUGUUAAGAUUAGAUGGUUGUUGCAGUCACUGCUCUAGGACUUGCACCAUUCUCUAUGUUCAAUGAAUUUCCUCAUUUGUCAACUAAGAUCUACAAUUUUUAAAACAAGUUACAAAUGGAGAAACAACUGUUCUAAACUUCAUUUCCAGCUCCCUUCUGAAACAUAGCUUGUAAUCCAUGUGGUUAACAUUCUUUCAAUCUAAUGCUGAUAUAUUAAUUUCAUAGUUUUAGCAAUACUGUGUGUUUGCCAAGCACGCAUUCACACACGCACACACUGCGUUUACUUUUUGGCUGAAGAAACCUUUGUCGCAACAGGCACUGAUGUGGCAGGAGAGGUUGUGGAGGUUGGACCAGGAGUAACAAAUUUCAAAACUGGUGACAAAGUUGUAGCUGUUCUUACCCAUUGCCUUGUAAGUGCUCAUUCAAUAUUUUGGUGUUUUUUAUUUCCUUAUCUUUGUAGUUUUUCAAAUGAUUUACAUUGGUGAGGCGACCUCUUGAUUAUCUUUUUUGGUUUAAUGGCUAUGUACACAAUUGGGGUCAACCAUACCCUCACUUGCGCCUUAAAUAAUGUCAUAUCAAAUAAGACAGUUUGCAUCAACAUGGCCUGAAGGUUACAUGACAUGGAUGACUGGUUAUAAGUUAAAAAAUCAGCGUAUUGAAAGGGGGUUGGGGGUGGUUAGAAGAGAGAGAUAAUAAAAUUGUUGCGUUCAUCAUAUUAGAUAAAGCACAAGUAGAAAAUUGUUUCCAGGUAUUGACAAAGGCAUGAGUCAAUAACAAGUGUGUGAGUAAUUUAUAGCUAAAUCUGUCUAUCGCGUGAACAGCCAACCUUCAUGCCCUCAAUAUCUUCCAUGAAAGUGACCGGUGAAAUACAACUUUUAUCAAGUACUAAUUGUUGUUUCUUUUCUCCAUGGACAACUUAGUUUCCCCUGAAAAGUAAAAUCUGAUAACUCUAUUUUGGACAUUUACUCAGCUUCAAUGAAACACAAAAGCGAUACCUUAAUGUCAUCAUUGUAGCUACUUUUUUUUGGAAAGCAAACAGGUCAAAGCCUUUGAUGCUUAUGAAUUUUUUUUGCUAGUUUGUAAUAUUGCCAACUUGAGGCGCAUUAUAGAGGUUAGUUUGCUUAGAUGCCUUGCUCAUGGAUCUUGUGUACCAUUAAGUGUUACAUAGGAGUACGGACCUGGGACUUGGCUCAUGCUAUCUACCUGGUUUCAAACAUAUGAAUAGUACAUUAUAGCAUUUGGCAAUCUUAUGUGUAUGGAGGAAUUUUACCAUUGGUCUCUGAAUUUUGUUUUGUUCUGUUUCUUUGAUUAAUUGUUGUGUGUUCUACAAACAACAGAGUGGAGGUGGACUAGCUGAAUUUGUAGUGGCUAAGAAGAGCUUGUCAGUUGCAAGGCCACCUGAAGUUUCAGCAGCUGAAGGUGCAGGCUUGCCUGUUGCUGGGCUCACAGCUCACCAGGCUCUCACUCAAUCUGCAGGGGUGAAGCUUGAUGGAAGUGGUAACCAGAAAAAUAUUCUGAUCACUGCUGCCUCAGGUGGUGUAGGUCACUAUGCAGUUCAGCUUGCAAAGCUUGGAAACACUCAUGUGACUGCCACUUGUGGGGCUCGUAACAUCGAAUUUGUGAAGAGCUUAGGUGCUGAUGAGGUUCUGGAUUACAAAACCCCAGAAGGAGCAGCUCUGAAGAGCCCAUCUGGUAAGAAAUAUGAUGCUGUGAUCCACUGCGCUGCUGGCGUUCCUUGGAGCACUUUUGAGCCAAAUCUGAGUGCAAAUGGGAAGGUUAUAGAUAUCAUUGUGGAGCAGUGAAUGAAAUUAAUGUGCUUGAAUUGCUAAAAUUUCUGUAACUGUGUUCUUGCCUAUACCAUGUGGAUCCGAUGCCAUACACAGCUGAAGAGGCAUUAUAUGAUGUGUGAUCUUGUAAAUAAUAGGGUUUGGGUUGAGUUUGAUAGCUAUUGAUUAUGUUUGUUCUUCAAUAUCAGAUGCUUCUUUUUUCGUUUUGGUGUUAUUUUAUUUAUUUAAUGACGUGAGACUUCCAUUUAUGGGCUAAU